GACACGAUGGUGUAGUUGGUUAUCACAUCUGUCUCACACACAGGAGGUCCCCAGUUCGAACCUGGGUCGUGUCA
rfam:Volvox carteri f. nagariensis unplaced genomic scaffold VOLCAscaffold_21, whole genome shotgun sequence.